CCUACGGGUGGCAGCAGUAAGGAAUAUUGCUCAAUGGGGGAGACCCUGAAGCAGCAACGUCGCGUGGAGGAUGACGGUUUUCGGAUUGUAAACUCCUUUUGUUAGAGAAGAUAAUGACGGUAUCUAACGAAUAAGCACCGGCUAACUCCGUGCCAGCAUCCGCGGUCAUAGGGAGGGUGCACGCGUUACUCGGAAUCACUGGGCGUAAAUAGCGGGUAGGCGGGAUAGCAAGUCAGAUGUGAAAUCCUAUGGGUUAAACAUAGAACUGCAGUUGAAACUGUUAUUCUAGAGUAUGGGAGAGGUAGGUGGAAUUCGUGGUGUAGGGGUAAAAUCCGUAGAGAUCAAGAGGAAUACUCAUUGCGAAGGCGGCCUGCUAGCACAUAACUGACGCUGAUGCGCGAAAGCGUGGGGAGCAAACAGGAUUAGAUACCCUGGUAGUC
rnacentral:rRNA from 1 species